rnacentral:rRNA from 1 species
CACUAGGAGCCGAUGAAGGACGGGACUAACACCGAUAUGCUUUGGGGAGCUGUACGUAAGCUAUGAUCCAGAGAUUUCCGAAUGGGGGAACCCAGCAUCUUUAAUAGGAUGUUACGAUUGUGUGAAUACAUAGCACAUUCGAGGUAGACGCAGAGAACUGAAACAUCUAAGUACCUGCAGGAAGAGAAAGAAAAUUCGAUUCCCUGAGUAGCGGCGAGCGAAACGGGAAAAGCCCAAACCAACAAGCUUGCUUGUUGGGGUUGUAGGACUCCAAUAUGGUCGUUCUUUCAGAUAGUCGAAUGACUUGGAAAAGUCAGUCAAAGAGGGUAAAAACCCCGUAGACGAAAUGUGGAAGACACCUAGGAGGAUCCUGAGUACGGCGGAACACGAGAAAUUCCGUCGGAAUCCGGGAGGACCAUCUCCCAAGGCUAAAUACUCCCUAGUGACCGAUAGUGAACCAGUACCGUGAGGGAAAGGUGAAAAGCACCCCGGAAGGGGAGUGAAAUAGAACCUGAAACCGUGUGCCUACAACAAGUCAAAGCCCGUUAAUGGGUGAUGGCGUGCCUUUUGUAGAAUGAACCGGCGAGUUACGAUUGCAUGCGAGGUUAAGUUGAAGAGACGGAGCCGCAGCGAAAGCGAGUCUGAAUAGGGCGUUUGAGUAUGUAGUCGUAGACCCGAAACCAUGUGAUCUACCCAUGUCCAGGUUGAAGGUGCGGUAAAACGCACUGGAGGACCGAACCCACGUACGUUGAAAAGUGCGGGGAUGAGGUGUGGGUAGCGGAGAAAUUCCAAACGAACUUGGAGAUAGCUGGUUCUCUCCGAAAUAGCUUUAGGGCUAGCCUCGGAAUUGAGAAUGAUGGAGGUAGAGCACUGUUUGGACUAGGGGCCCAUCUCGGGUUACCGAAUUCAGAUAAACUCCGAAUGCCAUUCAUUCAUAUCCGGGAGUCAGACUGUGAGUGAUAAGAUCCAUAGUCGAAAGGGAAACAGCCCAGACCACCAGCUAAGGUCCCAAAAUAU